UACGUAGGGUGCGAGCGUUAAUCGGAAUUACUGGGCGUAAAGCGUGCGCAGGCGGUUUUGUAAGCCAGAUGUGAAAUCCCCGGGCUUAACCUGGGAAUGGCAUUGGUGACUGCACGGCUAGAGUGUGUCGAGAGGGGGGUAGAAUUCCACGUGUAGCAGUGAAAUGCGUAGAGAUGUGGAGGAAUACCGAUGGCGAAGGCAGCCCCCCUGGGAUAACACUGACGCUCAUGCACGAAAGCGUGGGGAGCAAACAGG
rnacentral:rRNA from 1 species